GUAAAGGAACAAUUAGUAUUAAAAUAUGUGGAUGAGUGUUAUAAGUUGCCUAAAAACUAGAUUGGCCGGUUAGAUAUGUCUCAAAUAUGUUUCGAAUUAAGCACACUCACAAGCUUAUUUUGUCUCAAUUUCUUUCUGUAAAUUGUGUGUGACUUAACUUUUUUUUCCUUUUCCCUAACGUUUUGCAUUCUUUCAUAUUCUGACACAAUAUUCUUUUUUUAGACAUCAGAAAUAAACCAAGCAGAUGAAGCUGAACAAGAUAGUGAUCUUGAUUCCCCGAGGAAAGGAAAAUGUUUUGUGCUAUAAAGAAAUCUACUUGACAGAAGGCUUUCAUGAGUUUGUGUUCAAACUCCAAGAGAAUAUCAGCCAUCACCAGCAGGAUUUUUGCAAUAGUGGCUAUGCUUCUGUGGAGUACCAUGAAAGAGAACUCAGAAUGCUAAAUUAUGGGAGGUUAAAUCUUUCUUCUGUGCCAGUCAAGUGGUACACCAUGCCAAAGAAGUUCUGCAUGCAUAACUGGUUGAAUUAAUGCAUUUGGACCAUCACAUCAUGUGCAGGCCACCACCAACUAGUGUUCUAAAAUGCAAUCUCGAUAACCAGCAAUUGAGUUUUGAAGUUCUCAUUUUUUUUUUUAUCAACAAAUAUUAUUUUUUAAUUUGUUAGUUUUUUUUGUUA